UACGUAGGGUGCAAGCGUUAAUCGGAAUUACUGGGCGUAAAGCGUGCGCAGGCGGGUUUGUAAGACUGUCGUGAAAUCCCCGGGCUCAACCUGGGAAUGGCGAUGGUGACUGCAAGGCUAGAGUUUGGCAGAGGGGGGUAGAAUUCCACGUGUAGCAGUGAAAUGCGUAGAUAUGUGGAGGAACACCGAUGGCGAAGGCAGCCCCCUGGGUCAAAACUGACGCUCAUGCACGAAAGCGUGGGGAGCAAACAGG
rnacentral:rRNA from 1 species